AUCUCUCAACCACACCAAUCUUUUUGGCUUGGUGUGGCUUUUGGAUGUGGGGGUUUUAUUUUGCUGGCUCCUAUCAAAUGAGGUCAGCUCCCCUGAAACUUAUUAGCGGUAUCUGAGCAGAGAGACCUACUACAGGUGUGAUAAAUUAUCUAUGCCUUGGUCAUACUGCAUGAACAGAUUGUGCUGCUUCCAGUGAAUCAUUUGACAA
rnacentral:misc_RNA from 1 species